CCUGGCUCAGAACGAACGCUGGCGGCGUGUUAACACAUGCAAGUCGAGUGCGCGCUUGUAGCAUACAAGUGGCGCACGGCGCACGGGUGCGUAACACGUGGGCAAUCUGCCCUCCGAUGGGGAAUAACCCCGCGAAAGCGGGGCUAAUACCGCAUAACAUUCCUUGGACUUAGGUUUGGGGAUUCAAAACCGCAAGGUGUCGGAGGAGGAGCCCGCGCCCGAUUAGCUAGUUGGUGAGGUAACGGCUCACCAAGGCAAUGAUCGUAGCUGGUCUGAAGGAUGAUCACCACACUGGAACUGAGACACGGUCCAGACUCCUACGGGAGGCAGCAGUGGGGAAUCUUGCGCAAUGGGCGAAAGCCUGACGCAGACGCCGCGUGGGGGAUGAAGCAUCUCGGUGUGUAAACCCCUUUCGACUGGGACGAAUGCCCGCAAGGGAGUGACGGUACCAGUAAAGAAGCCCCGGCUAACUACGUGCCAGCAGCCGCGGUAAGACGUAGGGGCCAGCGUUGUUCGGAAUUACUGGGUGUAAAGGGUUCGUAGCGGUGCGGUAGUUGGGAGUGAAAUCUCUGGCUCAACCCAUAGCUGCUUCCAAACUGCUGUGCUCUGUGGGAAAAGCGCGUGGAAUUUGCAGGUGUACCGUGAAAUGCGUAUAUAUCGGGAGGAACACCUUGUG
rnacentral:rRNA from 1 species